rnacentral:tRNA from 1 species
UGGGGUGUAGCUCAGUGGUAGAGCGCUUGUCUCACACACAUGAAGCACUGGGUUCAAUCCUCAGCACCAUAU